rnacentral:rRNA from 1 species
CUCGUAGGCGGUUUCGUAAGUCGGAUGUGAAAGCCCUAGGCUUAACCAAGGAAGUGCAUUCGAAACUGUGAGACUUGAGUAUGGGAGAGGGUUGUGGAAUUCCCGGUGUAGAGGUGAAAUUCGUAGAUAUCGGGAGGAACACCAGAGGCGAAGGCGACAACCUGGACCAAUACUGACGCUGAGGAGCGAAAGCGUGGGGAGCAAACAGGAUUAGAUACCCUGGUAGUCC